CCCAAUUCCAAAAAGGUUCCCACACAACCUUAUCCUUGUCUAGAGAAUAGGAGGAAAAAUUUGGUGGUGGUGUCUUGUUCGUGAAAGAAGAAACUGUACAACCUUUUCAAGAUUUGGAGAAGAUGGAAGAAAGAGUCACGAUAAGUUUCUUUUCCCUAUAAUCUUCAACUUAAUUGUUUAACCUGUAGAAAAACAUGAGUAGGUUUCUGUGUGUUUUCUUUUUUGUGUUUCUUUAUUUCUAAAACAUGAUUAAUAACAAAGCGAUUACACGCAUCCGCUCGAGAUUUGAUCCCAGACUACAUUCCUAUUUGCAAAUAUAUAAGUUCUAAACCCCCAUAGUUUCACAUUGCCAAAUUUCAAAGUCAUGUUCUUUGCCAUGCUACAUGGCAAAUAAACAUAUUUUGUUGGUUCCAUAAUUGGUCCCAGAAUGGUGCUCUAUACAAAUGUGCUCCUCGCUUUUUUGCUCUGACUAAUAACCCCUGAUGACAGGUUUUUGAAGCAUGGAAUCCCAACCAACAUGUAUGGACUUUUUAUAUCCUCGUCGACCAUUGCUGCAAAGAGAGGCUGAUGCUUGGUCCCUUUUAUCCAGCCCAUGGUCUCCUCCUUUGACCGACUCGAGCAAUGAUACAAUCAAUUGGAAAUUGGCGUUUGAUGGGCUUUUCAGUGUCAAAUCACUUAAAGGGCAUAUCCAAAGCAUCUCAUCUAACACUCCCUGCUCGAAUGUUGAUAAUCUGUGGAGUAAUAUUUAUUAAUUGCAGAUUCUCAUUAUCCAUUUGGAAUCGUCUCAGUGAUGUUGCUGCUGUUGGAUUCCCAUAUUGAAUAGGCUCCCUUGUUGAACACCCGCUUCAGCUCAAAAUGAACUAUAAAGCUAAAAUUAUUUGGAGCAACAUUAUUGCUGCCUCUUUAUGGUGCAUUUGGCUUGACAGGAAUAGAAGAACUUUCCAAAACAUUAAAAAAAAAAACACAAAACCAUUUAUUGGAUGACAUAAUUUAAUAGGCCGCUUUUUGGAGCUUCAGAUCCAACAGUUUUUUUACUUUAUGAUGUCUCUACCAUCGCCCUUCUUUUACUUAUGAUGUCUCUGCCAUUGCUCUAAAUUGGAAGGUUGUUUUUGUCUAACCUUUUUCAUAUUUCUCUUUUAUUUGAACUGUUAUCUAGCUCUCAAUGUACAUGUUGAACCUUUAUCUCAUUUUAAGUGAAUGCAUCUUUACUAGAACCGAGGUAUAAUGAAGAUGAUAAUGAUGUGUCAACCUAAA